CCCCUCCUCCCCGCCCGCCAUGGAGUAAAGGCCCCCGCCGGCCGGCCGGGUGGCUCCGCCGCCGCUCCUCGAUGGCUCUGGUCACGGUGCAGCGCUCGCCUACCCCCAGCGCCACCUCCAGCCCCUGCGCCUCGGUGAGUCCGCCCGCCCUGCGCCGAGGGGAGCGCGGCGGUCGGUGGCGGCCGUUGGGGGUCCGGAGCGCGGCGCUGCGCAUGCGCCGGGCUUCUCGCGCGCCCCGAGCCGCGGCCCCGCCGGGCCGGGCAGCGCCGUGCGAAGCGCGGGGCCUCGCGGGGCAGAGCCGGGGGAGAGCCGGGGCGGCACUUCGGCAGGCCGCGGGGAGCCCUCGGGCUGAGGGGAGCGGGAUUCCCUGCCCCGCCCGCGGCCCCGCAGCGCAGCCGGCUGCGUUCGGCGUCCGCGGUGUGCGGUGGGAGAGGCGGGGAGCGGGCAGGGCGCGCUGAGGCGAUUCCAUCUGACAGCACCUCUGGGUAUCCGCGCCGCCCGGCCCCUCCUACGGGAAGAGACGCGGCUUCUGCUGUUGUGAUUUUCUUUUUCCUUCCCCGUAGCGCUGUGGGGUCGGGGGUUGGAAUACAUCCCCGUUGCUCCCAUGGAGGGGGGCAGAGCCGCCCGCCCUGCCAGCGCUGCUCGCUGUGUGGUGGAGCCGCUGCCCGGCAGCGCUGCUUUGGUUCCUUUCUCCUCAUCUCACCCCCGCGUCUCUCAUAACAUACGUUUAUUUACCAACGCCGUUUAAUUUCCACUCGCCUCGCCUCGCUGUCGGUGUUAAUGCAUUGCAUUACUUCGGAGGCCGCUUCCCCUUCUGACUGCCUUACCUCCACAGCCCUCCUUUUCCCACGAGUUUCCUGCAUUUAAGACCUCUCAUUGCAAGGAUGGGUCCCUCUUGGCAUCCUCACUGCUUCCAUCUGGAUGUGCAGUGCCUCCCUUUGUUAAAUAUUCAGUACAGAGGAGCAAUUAGCCCCAUAUACAUCCGUAGAACUCAGCUCUCAGUGUCUUCGUGCUCUUCCCCCAAUCUCUCAGCCCUCAGAUGUGAUCUGUACCACCGCAAAUCCUUCGUGCCCGUACGGACACAAGCGUGGCACUGCUUUCCUCAGCUGGUUUUGCUUCUCAUAAUUCUUUCCUUUCUCAGGCUUUUCUCGCGGUUUGAAGUGCAAACGAUGCUCCUCACGUUCCGUCCUUAACUGCUGUCCAGUGCACUUCUCAACUUCUGCAUUUCCUGUGGCAGCUUCCUGGCCGCGCAGUGGGGCUGGCCUGCCCUGUUAGCCCCGCUCAGUGGCUGCAGUCGGUUGGUUCUUCACCCCUCUGUCAGCGCCUCGUUCAGCUUCUGUGUCCUCUCGCCCCCAUCGCUGAGUUGUUUCAUUAGUGGGAACUUCCAGUGUCGUUUCACAUGGUCCUCUGAGGCUGCCAAGGCCUGGUGAGCAGGGCAGGCGCCUUCUGAGCCCUCCUGAGGGCUGUGCAAGGCUGCCUGUCUUAUGGGUGGCUGUAAUACGGGGCCUUGAAUCUUUCAGUGUUACGUGAAAUUAUUUCGACGACUCUGCUGUAAACUGUGGCAGCUUCUAUAUGUGCUGAUAACUGCACCUCAGAGUUUCCUUUUUGAAAGGGAGUUCAUCUUGCUCAGUGAUUUCUGUGGGAGGUGUGAGGCUCUGUCGUGCUGCCUGGCCUGUGCUGUAUCUGAAGGAAGACUGUCUGAUAACUGCUGGAAAUUUACUGGUUAAAUUGUGAGCAAGAAAAAAGAAAGUAAGCUAACCGUGUAUGGCUGUGUCUGGUUCAGUACCCAGGUUAAAAGAACUUUGAGGACAGAAAUGGAUUCUCUUUUAAAUUGCUUGAUUUUUUUCUUCCCUCUUUAGAGGUAAGAUUUUCAGGCAAGGAGAAAGGGUGAAACUGAUGUCCUUAAACUGAUUUCUUGCAUUAAGCAUGCCCUAUAAACAGUUAUAAUUGGCUUUUAUGGAUGCAGGGGAAUAGCUGAUCUGAAUCGCUCUGAAAUUGGAUGGCUUUUAUUUAUAGGCCUUUAUCCUGUUCUCAUUGCCAUGGAGCACCUCAUGAGCUUUCAUUUCAGGCUGGUGGUGGAGGGCAGGACUGCAGGAAAGUGCAGGUGCCAGGAGUUGGAGAGGGGCUGCUGGGGCCGAAGUCUGUGCUGCAAAGUCAGCUUUGUCUUAAUGCUGUGUGUGUAGUGGCUGUUUGCUCCCUUCAGGAGAAGAAGGACGUGUGUCCAAGUGAAGGAGGGGCCCUGGUAGCAGCAUACAGCGGUGGGCACAGUGGUCUCAUGAGCAAAAGCAGUGGGAUAAAACACCUUGCCCACAGCUGCUGCUCAGGUUUGCAGUCAGAGCUCUGCUGGAGUGAGGUGAAGAAACCUGUCCCAUAGGAGUGGGAAAGAAGGGAAGUGUUUUCUCUGUUUAAACAAGAACUCGCAUUUUAAAAGGGAAUAAGCGACUCUGCUUGGGCUGCAUUGUUGUCCAAGACAGCUGUUAAACUGGCAUGUAAACAAAUACUUAAGUUAAUUGAGCUGCUCGUAUCUCUAAGCAAUGAGCUCUCUGUUCCUGUGAAGCUGCACACGUUCUGCUCUCUGACAAACCUGGGCUAUCUCCAUAGUGAGGCUGGGCACAGCAGCCACGCGGCCAUCCAUGCCCAGCGGCUGGCCGCAUGCGGGCAGUGCGGUGCAGCACGGAGGAGCUGGUGGAAGCUGCGUGCCUCCAAGUGCCGUGAGCGCUGCUGGCUGAGGCCCCGCAGGUUGUCGGGUCCCCCACCCACCAGGAGCAUCACAUCGGUGCCAUCCUGCUGAUGCCAACCGAAGAAAACGGCUCUCAGGCUCUUUGUAGACUUCUGGUCUGUGUUGGGAUAUAAUAUACUGAAACUCGUCCUUUUUAAUUACUUUUAUGCACGGUUCUGCAGAACAAAAGCUGUGAUUCCUUUUAAGUGCUGGCAUUCCUCAGCCUAACGCUUAUCUGCUCUGAAGGGAAGAAGCUGGGCAGGCAAUCUGGCCCUUGCUGCUCUCCCAGCUUGCUCGUCUUCCCUACCCUCAGGGACACAAUAUGCUCUAUUGGAAGGGAGAGACUGACCCAGAAGAGGGGCUGUACUGCAUAUAGAGCUCUAAAAUGCACGGCUUAAAAAAAGGAAAAAAAAGAGUUUAAAGCAGAUGAAAGCAAACCAUUUGACUUCCCCUCCUUCGUCCCGGGGGAGCAGCCUGCAGGAAGCACAGCCCUGCACAUGUGUCUGAGGGUCUCUGUCGUGUUUUGCUGCUGGAGCACACAGGAAAUAUUUUCCUGCUUAUUUAUGCUUCGGCUAAAUAUAACACGUCUCCACCUCUGGUGCUGCAAUUACUAUUAAACAACGUGGUAAUUGGGAGUUCUGUGUCAGAGGAAGACUUGUCAGUGACUGAGAGAAGUCCCAUUUGAAUUAGUUAAGAUCUUGAUAACUUCUGCUUACAUAAGGUUAUGGAGGGGACUGCAGCCUGGCGAGGAGAGCAGUUCUCUCCUAUGAAGCAUUGAGUAGGCCGAGCAAUGCCUUGUUUAAAGAUGCUCCCAUCUCUCACUCAUUGUUUUUUGCCAACUGAUGAAUUUUAGUCUUCCUAAUGAAAACUUACUGACUUCAAGGGCAUGCUGAAUAUAAAAUACCUUUUACUCUCGUGCUUCUUAUUAGUUUACUAUGAGGUUUCUUUGCAAAGCUGGCAGCUGCUGUGUCCUCCUCCUCGCUGCUGUUUCCUGGGGCGCUGCUUUACACGUUGUCAGCUUUGGAGUAUUGUUGUCAUGCCCGGUGAAGUGCAGCCCAAAGAAGCAGUGGCACAGCAGUCAGCUCUUGGUGGGCAGCUCAGCCUUUUUCUAUUGCCUGCUUGCUUUACUUCAGCGUUGAAGGAAGUUUUGUCUUGGUACUGAUUUUGCCUUUUCCUUGGGCUGUGGUGCUGUUUGUGGCAUUUCAGAUAUCAAAGUUGCAUCUUUCAUAAUCCGAAGGUAAAUGGAAGCAGAGAGUGGAACGUGCACUGCACUGAUCUCCUCUUGAGCUGCAGCACAUGUGCUGGGGAAGAAAAGUUGUUUAAAAAUGCAGAUGGGGUGUGAUGCUGUAAUGAGUCCCUGUCUGCCCGCUGUGAUCCUUGCUGUCAGAGCGGCCAUCGGAGGCCGAGGGGUCGGGCUGCUGUGUGGGAUCUGCUGUUGUUCUGAGCCACUGAAACAUUAAGUGCUGUGUGAGUGAAGGCUGCCAUUCAAGCAGCGAUCUGCUGGAGGUAUCUUGGUGUGAGAGGGCACUGACUGAGGAUUUCCACUUCCUUGAAAUGAAAUCCUGAGAGAUCUAUAGCUGCAACUCUCGUGUCUUGGGAAAUUUCCAGAGACAGAAAAUAGCCUUUGGGCAGCUCAGCUCUGUGGAGCUGCUCCCUGCUCACAGCCCGCAGCUCAAGGCUUCAUCUGCAGUCACAACAAACCACGUCCUCCCAGCACCAGGUGUGACUCGGCCCUGCUGAGGUAAGGCAGCUCUGUGCAGAGCAGCGCUGGGAGCUCUCGCUGUCCUUGCCAGGCUGUCAUGGGCAGCAGGCUUCAGAAAUGCUCCCAUGUUUCUAGAGCUCAACUGACUUAAAGCUUUCACUGUCUUGAAGCCUGACCCUUGCAGAUCCCUUUAGCAAUAGGUAUGUGCUGUGCUGCUCUUGUUCUCUGACCGGUGCUUGCUUUGUGUAAGCUGGCCUGGCAACAUGAAGGCAGCACUUUUGUCAGCUGCCUGCUCCGAGUCUCUGAGCUGUUCAGUUCAGCUUGGGAAUUUAACAAGAGCCUCAUUUCUGUUGCAUUGAUUUGAGUAUCCUUUUAAUAUAUUAGGUAAUGAGAGUAAUGCACGUGUCGAUGGGACUGUAAAGGGAUCUCGGAAGCAAAGGAAGAAAUAGGUAUCUAUUAGAAGUAGUUGGGAAUUCGGACAAGAGAAACAGAAUUGCUAAUCCAUUGGCUGGAAGCUGUUCCUCUGGAGGGUUCUGCUUCAAGGGAUAAAAAGCGAUGAAGGCUAAAACCACAUUUGCAUUUCUGAGUUGGGCUGUACAAACCCAUUAGGUCCCAGAACCACCUACAGAAUGCCUUAUUGCAGCAGUGUAACCCUGCAGUGUCUGUGUGCUUUACCAUUCGGGCAGGCUCUGUAUGUGUCUAUAGCUUUUUGCCCAAGUGGGAUUGCUCUGGGUAUGCAUCUUAUCAGAGUUGCUCAGUGCAGACUCAAUCAGAAGGCACAGAACGUUGCUGUAGGAUGAGUCACGCCGCUAAGCAGCUUGUUGCUUCCAUGGUGAGACGCACCCUUGUUGUGUAUGCCAGCAAUCAUGAAACUCCUGGCAAAUACCCUGUGACGUGAACUUCUCAUGGCCUUGGUAAAUGAAAUGCCCGUGGCACUUGCUGAGAUGUGUUUUGCUUGUGCCUGCUCGCUGCUUUUGGGCGUACUGCUCCUCCUCCUCCCAAGGAACUCCUCAGCUGAGGCUUCAGUGAAGAAAUUACAGCGUCAGUGCAGACCAUUGCAGGGUGAAAUUAGUGGGGUACUUAAGGCCGCAGCUUAAAUAUUGUAGUGCCUUUGGUUACUUCAGCACAAGAAGUUUAAUCUGUCCUGUUUUGAAAUAACUGUUUUAUCACAGAUCAUCGUGUCCCUGUGCUGGGCUCAGGAGGCGGUUUGGAUGCCCGAUCUUUUCAUUGCCCCAAGGGCAGCACACAGAGUGCAUCUCUGGGAAGUGAGUGUGGGAUUUGUGAUCCAGGCUCUUGUUGCACAGCUCGCCUCCAGCCCACAGCCCAGUGAGGUGAGCCAAGAGCCACUCUGAGGUGAGAGGAAGUAGCAUCUGUAUGGCAGAAGACCCCAGCCGAACUCCUCCAUGCUGCGGAUCCAUCUGGUCGUUUGUUGUCUCUCCUCAGUGGGCUCUAACACGCUUCCAGCAGCAGUUGGUGUGUGAUACUGUCCCAUUAGGAGACGAUCUGCAAGCUGCUUCUGUUCAUCUUCUGUAAGUGGCUUUGUGUUGUCGGGGUGGGAUACCCCAACGGGAGGUCAGGACAGGCUCCAAGCACAAGUUUGCCUUCUCUCUCAAGCACAAGAAGCAGGUAGGUGAGAGUUGGCAGCAGGAGGCUUUUGUUGAGGGUUACUGCUUUCACUUCUUAGCUCUCAAGGCCUCCUUAGCAAAAAUGCAAAAGCUGCUGAGCUGGACACCUUUGUCCUCAACUUUUAACUGUAUGCCAUAUCUGAGAAAUGGAUUCUUAAUGUGGAAAGCAAGUCCUCUUACAAGGGAAUGCAAGGUCCAAUUACUCUAGCUGGCUGCUGCCGUGUCCCUUCUGUUUUGAUGUACAGAACUAUCACAUUUAGCAUUAGUGUGAGAACUUUUAAGACUCGUUCAGCUGGCUUGGCUUACCUUCAUUGGCUGACAUCUGAGGAAUGUGUAUAUUAGAUUCUUUAGGGAAAAAGAAAGGACAAAAAACACUUCAGGCUUUUCAUCUUUAUGCCUUUUAGUGUGAUGAUGAGAGGGAGGGCUUAGGGCAUGUGCUGUGCAUGUGUGAAGUGCUGUGCUUCUGAAGGAGAGCUUUGGAGGUAGCCUGAAUCUUCCUGCUGAUGCAGGACCAGCCCUUUCAUGUUUCUGGAGCAGAGAUUGAGUCUUUUUCUUAUUUGUCCGUUCUAAUCCUUUUUUGUUGAUAGUUUUCCUUUCUUCCGUCCUCCUGGAUGGUAUGAAAUAAUUUAAGGACACAAAUCUGGGCAUGCUCUUCAGUGAUGCUUUGGAUUUAAACACAGUGCUUCAAAAAGUGGUAUUAAACAGUUACCCAGGACAGCAAGAAUACGGCAGCUCGUUGGAGUGUGAGCCCUGAAACGGCAGAGAUCUCUUUUGCCUUCUGAAAUUGCAGCAUGGCUGACAAAGACUUAAUUCACUUCCCAAAGAAGCAUUUUUUCUUAUGUAACAUGCAGUGAGUUUUGCUGGUGGGAGUUUCCUCUGCUUUUGUUUGCAGCUGAGUUGUGCUUAGGUGGGGUAGCCGGCUUAGGACUUCAAAAAGAGAAGUGAAACAGAUCAACCUGUUGUUUGCUGCUUGUUGACAUUUCUUCCUUCUUGGUGAUAUUUUGGUUGCUCUCACAACAAUUAAAAGAUAUUCAAGCCUGAACUUGAGCUUUCCAAUGAAUCUCCAGACAUUUGGUUCCACUCUGGUAUGGGUCAGGUCUGGUACUGCUGCUCAGUACAGCUGGAUGUAGAAAUCCAUGUCUGUGUUAUCUCUGGCUGCUUGUCAGCUGCUGCUGCCUGGGGAGGCUCCUCACCGAGGUGCUGCAGAUCAGUUGGCCUCUCCCGUGCACCUGAGCCUUAAAUGGAAGGCCUGGGGGCAGAACAGUGAGCACAGCAUAUUUUCAGAUGCCUUCCCUAAAGUUGGGCUUCGUUACAGAAACUGUCAGGCAAGGGAGGCAUUAUCAGCUAACUGAGAGUACGACUGGGAUCGUUUGCACAGAGGAGAGCGAGCGUUUGUCACAUGCUCUGCAGAUCCCCGCUCUCAACGUGUGCCUUCAGCUGUGCCAGUCUCCUGCAGCCCACACUUGGGCUCUUUGGAGUGGAGUUCUUCCCUUACACGUACACCAGCAACCGCUCCAGUCUGCAGGGAGCUCUGUGCAACUGCGAGGUGUUGGUGUGUGUAGAUGCUGAGACGGUUAUUUCGGGACAGUUUCUGUCUGGCUCUCCUACAAGGAAGGAAGAAUGGUUUGAUGUUCUCUUGAGGAGAGGGGAAAGCUUGGUGUCUGGUUAGAGUUUGUGCUGAAGAUGGCUUGACGCAAAAGAAGCUGGAGGAAGUGCUCGUGUCUUGGUUUUUAAACUUGAGAUGCGCCUCAUUUAAAAAUAGUAAAACAGGCUGAGAUUUCAUGAAGUUUAAACUUACAAGUUUGGUUUUAGGAGAGAACGUCUCAAACCACGGAGGGUUGGUGUGAAGAUAGCCCGAGGGGAGGAGCAGUCUGUUGUCAGAACUUGGUGCAGUCGCUGUGAAGCAGUACAUCCUGGACAUAUUUGACUCUUCUUGAACUCUGCUCUGACCACAGCUCGGUCCCAGCAGCUCAGUGCUGCAGCACCACUGCUCAGCCUUUGGCACUGCCCCCAUCGCAGCAUCAGGAGGGGAAGCUGCUCCCAAGAAUCUUUCACACACGGUGGUGGCUCUGACUGAAAUAGACUGAUGGUGUUUUAAAGGGUGCUCUAAAGCUUUAUAAAUAUUAAUUCUGUUCUUUUGUUUCCUAAUAAAGGGGUUUGAUUCAUGAAAUUGCUAUUUAUUUAUUAACCUGACAAACUAAUAGCGAGCUCUCUUCUUUCAGUGUGUGCAUGUGCCAUAUCACAAUUCUGCUUGUCACCAUACAUAAGAACUUCAUUCAUCUGCUUUAAAAUGUCAUUGAUAACAACCUGGCAGUGGCCCAGCUCAGAGCAAGUUAACUACAAAAGGCUGCAUUGUAAACCUUUCUGAGAGUACAUGCUACAUUAAGUCUAAAAUUAAAGUACAGCCCGGUCCAGGCUACAUCUAACUGCCAAAUAGCUGCAAACCUCUGCAAAAACGGGGCUCUGUGCGGAGGAGCUGUGCCUGAAAAUGGGGUAGUUUGGAAUUAAGGCUGCGUUCUGCUCACUUAAACCUUCAAGGUACCGAAUUUAUAGGCCUUGUUGUAAAAUGAGAGGAUAUCGUAGUGAGCCACAAGUAGCAAAGUGAGGACCUGGUUAUUUCCAUUGGUCUCUUGUUUCUUUGACUGAAUGCCCAGGAUGAGAAGAGCAGUCUGCCGGUGAGUCUGAGCCUCUGGGAGUUAAUUGAAGUGAUUUUGGAGUGGUACUUUGUGUCAUUUGUAUUAAGUCUCCCCAGCCCCAGCUGCAGUCUGCUCACCAAACAUGUUUAUUCACCUGUGGGUUCACAUGGUGCAGGCAGAGUGCCUGACAUGGCCCUGUAUGUGGGGCUCCCGGGAGCCUUCACCGUGGUGAGGCACUGCUCACGAGGGCUGGCUGUGUCCAUGCAGCCCUGGUUAACCCAGCUAGCCUCACUGAACUCCGUGGAGCAGAGCGUGAGCUUUAAGGCAUCUUCAUGCAGGGUCUCCUGGGAGCAGUGUGAGCGUGCUGUAAGUUAUUUGCAUCGUGCUCAUCCUAUGCUGUGAGGAUGGAAGAGGCUCAGGCAGCGCGGUGAGGGGCUCUGAAGGGUGUAUGGUCUGCUAGCUGGCGUGGGGACCGCGAGAGCCUUCAGGAAAGGAAAGAGGAGGAUACGAUUUCAUGCUGCUUCACUUCUGUGGUUUCUUUUGUUUUGUCUCUUUCUUGAGUAUAGCGUAUGGACAGCGCCGUGGGUUAGGGAGCACUGCGUCUUCAGAGGCUUUUCCUAUAUAGCCUUCCACUGAAGUCAAUGGGCGUGGAGGUAAGCGGUGCUUUCUGACGACACUCCCACCACCCACUCUGCACCCUGGUGCACACAGCACUUGUCUUGGAGCAUUGUUGUUCCCUGGAAAGGUCGCAUGCGGUUGCACAAUGAAGACACUGCUUAUUUGUGUCGUGCAGAUCUGUUUGUAGCUGUUGGAAGAGUGCAAGCAGUGAGUAUCAGCGUGGGAGACUUCACCAGUACUGCAUGAGCACUUGCCACUGCUGUCAAACAUUGCCAGCCCUGUUAUGGCCAAUUCAAAUACGACUUCACUGUUGAUCUGUGAGUUGAGUGGGGUUUGAGUGUAGGGCUGAAUGUCCCUGAGUGAAGUGUUUGUGCUCCCGAUGCUCAGCACCUCUUGCUCUGCUGUGAUUUAUUUGUUGUACCAGUUCUGGUGUAGUCUGCCAAUGAGUAAUCACUUUAUCACAAGCCACUCAGAGUCAGCGAGAGUUUCCUGUUUCCUCAUCUUUCUGUUCACUUCCUUUCUGUUGAAACACAGCUUUCUCCAUUGAAACCAGAAUGUUGCUGCACUCUUCAUCUUCCAUCUAGUGGCCCAGAGGGAAGGGGAACCUCUGCAGUAUUCCCACAGGGACGUUGACAUCUGGGUCUGGUGACUAAAUUGUUGUGAUGAAACACAAAUUCAUUAGUUGAUGCUGCUGAAAUCCACUGACUUUUUCUGUGCUCCCAAUAGGAGGCUUUAAAAUAUCCAGCUGCAGGCUGAUCCUCUCCAAGCAUGUGACGCUGACAUCAGUCCUAGAAGUGAGGCGUUGAACUGCCUCCAAAGAUGAGCUCAUUGGGUGAUAUUCAAUGCAGUGAUUUAGCAUAGAAUUAGCUAAUUUGAUUACAUGAUCACCUGCACUUACUGUUCGAAUGAUGGGAGCUCAUUUCAGUGCUAGCUGCUGUCAUUUAAGUGUUAGUGCUGGAACCCCGAGGUGCUCUCGGUAGGAUGCCCUGCUGCUGCUGUGUGGUGGGAGCUGGGCUGGCAGAGCCCAUCCCUAUGGGCACUAAUAUGCCAUAAGACUUGCUGAGUUCCUUGACUUUUCUUCUCCCUCUCCCAUGAAGUUAUAGGGGAAUAAGAGUUUGGGACUUGACUAUUAAGCAGGCCUUCUAAAACCACUCAUAAGACUUAGGGUUUUUUUUUAUUUAAUGACUCUCUUGUCUUGUUUAAAUGGCUGCAUAAAAACACAGCUACGUCCCUUCUCAGGAGCCUGGGCAGUGGUUCAGCUUAAGCCUGCCCUGCUAUCCAGCCUACAGCAGCCAGUCAUCACCAAACGCAUAUUAAAACCUGGCACGACUGUCCUGGAGGCAAGUUGCUUGUGCUGAGCUUCCUCACCUCCUCCAGCUCCAGGUCAGCAGUAAUGGCAGACUUCCUCGACCUGCACAGAGCGUUCAGGCAGCACGAGGGAAUGACAGUGACCCUGGAUACACCCGUCCAUUGUUUGGGAGGCUUCAACGCAUUAAGCAUUUACCUGUAGUCAUAAUAGGAGUAUGUCUUAAUUGCUGGUGUCUGAGCGUAUCAAUGCAUACCUGACUUGACGUUUAUUUUUCUAAGCAUGGGAAUUAGAGAACCAGUACGUCAGCAGAAGGGUUCCUGCGAAUUUGUCCCAAAACAAUGUCAUUUUUCUCCCCCUUUCCCCCAACCCUGCAGUAUUUUCUGCUUGUUAUUGCACGUUGCAGGACUGCUUGCACUGGAGAUCCCUGCUGAAUGGAAGUCUUUAUUGAGCUGGCCAUAACAUUGCUCUUCUCUUUCAAGAAAUAUCGCUGCUAGGACAGAGGAAGACAAUGUAUCUCACAGGGCUCUAACAGUGCUGCCUGCACUGCUAUCUGUAACCAACUCAAGAACUGAGUUGGAAAAAACACUGAGGUUUUGCAUAGGAAGUUAAACUGAGGAGAAGCUCUUAAAGAAGCGCUGAGCAAGGGACGGAGCUCAGUUUGAAGAGCAAGCAGUAGCAAGUGAGAUAGGAAGAGUGCUGCUCCUGUAAGGGUAAGUGAUGCUGUGUGGUGCUGGCGCUGAGCUCUGACACCCGGGGUGAUGGGAUCCCUUCCUGCUGCCUGAUUACAGGAAGCUGGCAUGUUUCCAGAGUGAGUUCCUGAAACAUCCUCAGUGGGGAGGAGGUUUGGGAUGACAGAACGCUUAUUCACACCCAGCGUGUCAGCUGCAGCAGCAACUACUCGCAGUGGCUGAAUGGCUGCUGCCUGUUUCCGUCACCUCCCAGAGGUGUGCCUCAGAAGCCGGGUCUGCCAGCCCCUCACCCUGUGUUCUGCAGCACUACGUCAGCAGCAUCCUUCAGAUGUUGUCUCUGCAAAGUGAUGAAAUGAACGUCAGCCUUUCCCAGCAGAGCUCCUGCCGUACACACGUCCGAGGGUUGUUCAGGAUGCAUGCGGGGUGUGGAUGUGCAGAGCUGAGCUGCACCCCGUGCUGCCCAAGGGCAGGCGAGGAGCCCAGCCUGCCUGCAGCCCUGAGAGCCCUGCCAGCGCCUGCAGGAGGGGGCGGGGAGGGAAGCAGAUGCUCCUCGGAAGUUCAUACCAUGGUUAAUAAUGUAAUUCACAGAUGGUGGUGGAGGCCUUGAAGAGGCUUUCAUGCAGUACUUACGCUCUGUAAUAGACAGAUCAUCGCAUAAGGGCUCGUAAAUAGAGAUGACUUAAUCCCAAGGAUGAGUCUGCAGCGAUCUGUUUGAUAGUGGCCCUGUGGCUCACUGUAACCUUCUUAUACAAUCCAAAGCCUUCAGCAUCCCUGAAUGUGGAGCACAGCCCCCGGACUGGGCCGAUCUCUGAUAAAAAUGUCGAGAUAAAAUGCUAAUGCAGAUUUGAGGUCUCGAGUGGAAAUGGUUCUUAUGAAACAGAAAGCAAAUUCCUUUGUCCUGGUGCAGAAAUCAAUACGGACGGUGCAGGUGUGGAAAUUGCUUUACACGGUGCCUUCCUCUUGAGAAGCAGUUCUGCUUUUAUUUUCCUUUAUGUGGUUGGCAUGGGAAGCAGCGUGCUUUCUUCUGAGUAGCUGUCAGUGCAUCUUGAUGGCUAAGGAAAUGACCAUGCAUUGCGUGUCCUCUUGGGUCUGCUUAUUUACUCAUUAAGAAGGAGGUCACUCCAUGCUACAUAGCGGAUGAACAAGCUGCCUUUCCAGGAAUCAGAAAAAAUAUAGCUUAAGUCUCAAUGAAACAAUGCAGCUGGUUGUUCUUGGGAGGCUGAUGGUGGGGGUCUUCAGUGAGUGCUGGCUGUAAGCUGUGUAACUGCAGGUCUGUGUUAGGGGCUUCCAAGCUGAUAUGUUUACGUUAAAAAGCAAAAGUUUCAGAUAACACCAGAGCUGAUCUUGCUGUGCAUGUGCAGCUCUCCACUUCCAAGGGAUUUCCAUAAUAAUAGCUUUGAUUUCUUAAUUUCUCCAAGUUGAAAUUAUUUAGUAAAUUGGCUUCUUGUGAUGCUUGUCAUGUGAUGGUUCAGGAGCCCCAAAGAAUGUGCUCCUGUGACUGCAGCCAUGUGUUUGUCUGUAGCAGUGCGGGCUGUGCUGUGUUCCUGCUGUGUCUGGAGCUGGGGAGCGAGGCUGGGGCUGAGGGGGGGCUCCUCCACAGUGACUGACAUUUCCAAGCAGCAAAAAAUGCUGUUAAUGAAGUUAUGUCCAGCUUCCAGCCCUGCUGUUGUAUAGAGACCUGCUGUUGGUAUGUGUGUGUGCUGCUGCGCUGCAUUGCCUGCACCCUUGGAUUAAUCCAGUGGUUUUUUGUGGCACCUUCUUUCCUCCAAGCUGAGCCUUGUUUUCAGCUCUCCCUCCAGUACUUAUUGCUUCACGCUUGAGGAUUCUGCUUGCUCUUCAUGCUUGCAUUAAAAAACCCAAAGGUUGAAACCCUCAGCUUGCUUUGCGUGGCCCCAGCAGUAUUUCCCCUUGGCUCAGGAGAUGCGGAUGUCAGCUGAGGGAUCCCUUCUCAUUUGGCUGGUCAGCCAAGCUCUCCUCAAGCGCAUUAGGAGGAUCUACAGCUUAAGUUCAUCGGAGGACUGACCUGUUCUGGUUUUAAUGAGAUUCGUUAUACGUGUACCUUUUGGAUUUGACUGCUUUGGCCUUCAAAACAGCCUGUACAAAUCUGCUAGUAAAAGAAGGACUGACAGAAAACCGACUCCUCAUUCUGAACCUGCCCUCCUUCAAGAUUAUGGAUUCCUUUAGCAUUAAAAUACCAUCCGUUGUGCUGCUGGCACACAGCUUGGCUGCACGGCUUCGCCAAGUGCUGGCAUUGCUGCUUCCUUUUGAGCUCCUGCACGGCUCCCUCCUAGGAAACCGCAGUGAUGGAGCGCUGAUGCUGCAGCUCACGUCUGGGGAGGACAGAGGAAAGCUGGACGUCACAGCUGAUAGAUGGGUCACGGUGUGCAACUUCUGCAGGCACAGCUACAGCCCCAUACGUGUCGGGGGGAGGACCGGGGCAGGGCUGUCGUCACAGACACAUGUGGGCAGGGUGUGUUAUUUGAUCCCAGCUUACAUGUGUGGUACAGAUGUGGUCGUCAGCAUGAGAUGAGAAGUUACGGUUGCUGUGCACGUAUGUUGACCCGGAGGAUAUCAGCACCCACCAUUUUUAAGUGUUAUUUAUUUAUUUGAAGAAACAAUGUGUGUGGUUGGGGGGGGGGGGGGGGGGUUAGAGGGGGCUGUUGUGCUGUGGCUUUAUUUUGGCCGAACUGUUUGCAUCUGGUGGUUGUGCAUUGGAUGGCUCUGCUUGGCCAGAGCUGCCCCUCUGCCUUUGGUGGGGUUAAGCCUGGGGUCCAUGGCCGGGCGUGUGGGGAUUCCACUCAUCCCACCAGGACUUGGAGAGCAUUGCAGCUGGGCAGUGUCUGGAGCUGGGAAGCAAAGUGUGGUUUGUUGGGCUGUGUGCUCUGGGUGUUUGUAUGCACAGCCCUGCAGCGUGCUGAGGUGAAUGCAUUGCUGGGUGUAACGCCUUUGUUUUGUUUUUGUUUUUUAUAAAUGUAACUAUUAAUGGAAGCAGAGUGCAUAAUGUAAUCCUAAAAUAGCUCCUCUAUGAAUGCAGAAGCAUUCCACUUCUGACUAAUCAGCCAUUCAGAACGAGCAUUUAAGUAGGCACCAGAGAGCAGAGGCUUUCCAUAUCUGCACUGAGGAACGCACUGGGCUCAGCUUUGCCCCCCCUUCAGCCCAUCCCUGCUAUCUCCAUGAGCACCCUGCUCACUGCCUGCCCGGGGCUGCCCGUCCUGCUGCAGGCUGAAGGAUGAUGCUGAUAAACAGUCCUCAAAACCAGACUGGUGCUCCUCUUGCUUGUGAAUGAACCAGAGCACAAAGAGCGUAUGUUCUGAGCCCUGGCUGCAGUGCAUGGCCUGGAGAGCAUCGUGAGCUGGGCAGCCCAUGGGCAGUGUGCUUCUGUAGGGGCUGUUUCCUUCUACCACUCCAAGUCCAGCAGUGCCCUAUGGCCGUCUUAUUUAGAGGUGACCUCAAAGGCAAGUUCUGCUCUCCUCCCAAAGCGGGAUUUUCACAGGGGCUUACGCUGGUUUAAGAUUGCAUUACCCUAGCAUAGCAUAAACCUGUUUCCAGUUAUCUUAAGGCAGAAAGCGGCUCGGGGAUUUGGAUUGAUUCCUGCUGACUUCACCAAUCCCCAAGGAGCGCCGUUUGCCCCCACCUACCUGCUCCUAAUUUCGGGCACUCAGAUGUGCCCUGUGCUGUGCUGCGUGGCAGGACAUCCUUUGGGAAGGGCCCCAGCAUACCUGAGCCGCUCACUCAGGGCACUGGCCAAAGGGAAGGGAAAGUUUUAACUGGAUUAACCUCAAGAAGAGAGUGUGGGGAUUUAAGGAUUAAGGAGCCCAAGGCAGCCGCCGGUCACUGACUUCCAACCUGUGGUCAGAGAGCAGCCAUUCUCUGGGCUGGAAGUACAGCCCCCCGGCCUGCAGCAUACUGUGGUAUUAAAGGUAGUGGUCUUAGGAGCACAGUGUGCACGUAGGGCAUUUUUCUGAAGGCCGAUGUAUUGACUGGGAACUGUUCAUAGCUGAUACCUUACAAGAAGAAACUGAGAGCACUGAGUGCUUAGGUGGUACCUUAAACCUGGCUCCCAGAAGAUGUGUAGGUGCUCACAGCUCUAAGAACAUCUUUCAGUAGGCUUCAGCUCUUGCAGCCUCCUGCACUCCUCUCACAUCCCCAACCCUUGUCCCAAAGCGUUCCUCUCAUCCCAUAUAUUUUUCCACCAAUGCUGCUGUGCAUCCCCCGGGGGAAGAUCCUGGUAGUCUGCAGGGUUGGUGGAAGAUGAAAGGGGGGGGAUCAGCACACCCUGUUACUGGGGAGAGCGCAUGGCUGCUCUGCUGAGGGGACAACAGAUGGCACAAAGGAGAUGGGAUUACACAGCCGAGUGCUGCAGGGCCACAGACCUAAUGGAUCUGUUGAACUGCAGGGGUCAGGCAAACCCAGCCUUGUGCCAAGGCUGAUGUCCUUCCUCUGCCUUCAGCACGGCACUUCUGUUUGAAGCUGUUCUGGGCAGCACGGAGGGCUGUGACGUCUGGCUGGGAGGAUGGACAGCUGCUUCCAGCUUCUGACACAGCCUGGCCUUUAUGGCACAGUGAUGUUUCACAGAGGUUUGCAUUUGAGGAGCGAUGCUGCCGGCUGCGUGCCGCUUACCCAACGCCUGCUCUCUGGGGGGAGAUGUGGGGCCGAGCUGCCCUGCUAGCCUGGAUAAACAGCAGAGGCAAGUGUGUCCUGGCCAAGGAGAAAUAGCACUGGGUCGCUUUGCUGGAGUCUCAUUAAGAUCUGUUUUUCUCAACUUUCAGCCCCUGGAGAGUGUUGCAAUAAACAGGACAUUCGUUCGUUAACAGAUGAAGAGCGCUGGAUGGCUGCAGGAAUUAAGAGCUGGACAGCAUUGCCUUUUUUUUCCCUCUCUCCUCCCACAGCAAUUUGGACAGAUACCCAAGUAAACAAUAACAAACAGAUUUUUGGAGGAGCUGGCUGGGAGAAAUAACAAAAGUCAAGGGGCGGUCAUUGUGCAGCUCAGCUCUGCUCAUGUUUGACCACUCUGGAAAGCCGCCUGUUACUCCUCAGCUUCAUUUUCCUUUCUCGUUUUCCUUCCACCCCCAUUGCAGGAGCUGCCAUUGUACUUGCUGCUGUAAGUUUGGUUGUGUCACCACCUCCUCCAUAGUGCUCACUGCAUCGAGGGGAGGUUUGCAUUUAGCUCUAUUCAGCGACCCUACGGCGACCAUGGGAAGAGUCACAGCUGUGGAGCUGAACUGUGCCUACAUGAGAAUGGCUCCCUGGCUUUUAAUGCACACAACUGCUGCAGGGAUCGAGCUGAGCCUGCUGUGAGUGUGCACCUAGGUGUAAACCAAACCCCCAAACUUACUGUUAGUUGUGAACUUGUUGCUAACAGGAAGAUGGCUGAUUGAUUGCAAGACAAAGACCCUUCCCUUCACCGUGUACCUCCCUUCCUUCCACCCUCCUCCUCCUCCUAAAAUAGUCCUUCAGCAUGAGGAGCAAAAACCAAAUAUCUCCUUCUUUUCAAAGCACACUUAACAUUUGUCCAUUCCAGUGAGAAACUGGGCUUUGUCUUAAACCAGAAGUUGGUGGAGCGCCCAUCCUUCCUAACCACGUGGGGACAGCUUCACCUCUGUGAUGGUCACCUCUUGUGCACGCCUGGUGAUGGGGUUCUCAUCAUGGUAACCUGUGCAGCCGGGCCGUCCCUGUGCCCUCCUGUCCCUGCCCUGGGACUCACCAGCCUACGUGUGAGUUUUUGACUUCGUCUCACCCAAACCGUACCUCUGACAUCAGCAGCAAUGCCUGGUAUGCAAACUGGAGCUGUUACGGUCUGUCAGUUUUCUCACGCUCAUCCCAUCGCUGUAAGUAGAAAUGAACCCCUGUGGAUUUCAGGAUGUCCGAUGGACAGUUUCAUUAUCUUUGCCUAAAUGGAGACUGAAGGGGUACUUUCAAGGCUCUGGGAAGCACUGCAUUUCGCAGAGGAUCCUUGUGAUGUCAGAUGUCUGCCUGUGCCGGUACAGUGCUGAAAAGCUGCCUAGAAGUCAGAGGAGGCUGUUAGGGAGAUGCCAGGUUUUUUUCUUAGCGUCUGUAUGUGUCUGGAUGGUGACAACCAAGGUGCCACGAUGCACUGCUCUGUGCGGUGCAGGGAUUUUUAAUGUCAAUAUGAAGUGUUUGUGGGAUUUGUUUUCCCUUGGGAGCGUCUCUGGGAUUAAAGCAAAAGCUGUUGUACUCCCCAUCAGGCAGGCUUAUUUCACUGCAGCAAUUCAAUGGACAGUAAUCUCCUUUUUAAUCCGCGCUCGUGCUGUAGCGUGGCAGGCUGUGCCGUGCUGUUCCUCAUCCUCACUCUUGUACCAGUUGGAAGCUUCUUGUGUCCAAAUGCCGGAGUGCUAUUUCUGCAGUUUUUAGUGAGGCCCAAUCUGGAUGAAGUUUGUGUAAAUCCCUGAGCUCCAGCAGAAAGAUGAACUCUCGGAUAAGGAACUUGUUUUUUUUCUUUCUCCAGAGCAAGAGCACAAUGUCUUUGACCUAAAUAUACCAAUUACUGAUGCCGCAAAGUGAUACAGAAAACAAUCUGGAAGGAAUGCCAACCUCUGAAUGAAAGCUUGGCUGCAGAGAGCGGCUGUGUAUUGUGGGACCUCAAAGACGGAAGAAAUGUGAGGAGGAAAAGGGUGUUCAUUCAAAAUAUAUCAUGCAAAUAGCAAUGGGAGAGGGAGAAACUGCUGGGAAAGCUGCUGCUCUGCCCCAUCCCCGUGGCUGUGGAGAGGUAGGAGCACUACACACAGCACCGUGCAGCUCUCCCCUCCCCAUCCCUGGCCUACUUUGCUCAGCUCAGCUGUCUGAAGCACUUUUAUGUCAAACUUCAAGGCUUCCUGGCAGCAGCUGCUAUUUUUAAAGUGUUUGAUGGCAAAUGUAAGUAUUUUAAAAGGUGGCUAUGAGCUACUUCUCUGCAGCGUAAGGGACUCCAUUAAUUAGUUUCAUCAUUUUCAAUAGUGGUUAAGGUUAACCUUCUCCAGAGGCUGGGGGGUUCUGAAGAGCAGUGAUUUCUUUUGAGCCCUGGGGUCCAUCCUGCAGAGGGGAGCAC
rnacentral:lncRNA from 1 species